AACGCUAGCGGCGUGCUUAACACAUGCAAGUCGAGCGCGAAAGUCACUUCGGGUGGCGAGUAGAGCGGCGCACGGGUGAGUAACACGUGGGUAAUCUACCUUCGGAUGCGGAAUAGGCCGGGGAACCUCGGGCUAAUGCUGGAUAAGACCACGCAUCUUACGCGGGUGUGUGGGAAAAGCGGGGGACCUCUGCUGAGGCCUCGCGUCUGAAGAUGAGCCCUCGUGGCCAUCAGUCAGUUGGAGGUGUAAUGGUCCACCAUUGCAAAGACGUGGUAGCUGGUCUGAGAGGAUGAUCAGGCACACUGGAACUGAGACACGGUCCAGACUCCUACUGGAUGCAACAGUUGGGGAAUCUUUGCGCAAUGGGCGAAAGCCUGACACAACAGCGCCGCGUGAGUGAUGAUGGUCUUCGGAUCGAACAGCUCUGUCGGUAGGAACGAUGCUGUCACUGGCCAAUACCCGGUGAUUGUGACGGUACCUGCAAAGGAAGCACCGGCUAACUCUGUAGCCAACAGCCGCGGUAAGACAGAGGGUGCAAGCGUUGUUCGG
rnacentral:rRNA from 1 species